GGGCUGUGAUGAGGAUAUGAGAUGUCAUGCACCACUCUGAUUUGAUCAAUUCAGUGCUGAUAAAUAUUUCUCACCCAUACAUAUCUGAGCCC